UGAUGCUGCAUUAUUAUUGUGCAAGGCACAGCAACAACCACCCCGUUGUUAAUUGCAUUACAACAAGUAGAAGGGCUAUCAACAUCAGCUUUAUGUGACACGCAUUAUGGCUUUACUAGCAUCAAGACAGAGUCAUCAGCCGCCGGCCGGCCGGCCGGUCGCUCGCUCGCUCGGCUGGCUGGCUGGAUGCACCCGGGCGAGGCGCUCAGCGGCGCCGCGACGUGGGAGCCAGGCAGCCGGCGUACACGCCGCAUGCAAAGCGGCCAGUCCGCGGAUGUCCAAACGUGACACGGCAGACCAACAAUAACAAGCCGACUCGCUCGCUUCCAGUUUCCCAUAUGAAGCACCAGCAGCGGCGAGGAACCAGCAGCCAAGCCAGCCAGCCUGCCUGCCUGCCUGCCCUGCCUCCGACGCGACUUCAGCCGCUUAAAGGUUCCGAGGAGGUCAAGCCUAUUGUUAGCAGCUGCUCCUCCGAGCACACGGUGCAACUGAGUGACUGAAUCAACUACCGUGGAGCACGGCAAGUUGAAGUGUCAGAUUACACGGGGCUAUUCGGUUACCACCGCCGAGGAGAGGACCGGGCACAGCGGCGAGGAGGAAAAUGUGAGGCGGACUUCCCCCUUCCACACCCCCGCAUCAGCACGAGGAGUCUGUCUGUCUGCCUGUCUGCCUGCCUGUCUGUCUGCCUGCCUGCUUGUCUGCCUGCCUUGUCGAGCCGGUGGACGGCAGCCUCUACCGGGGAGUAGGAGUGGGCUUCGCGGAGAGACAAAUGCAACACAAUAGCGUCACGUUCUGUCAUUUUCAAGGAUCCACCCUUUUCAGUGGAACUAAAUUCAAGAUCGGAACUGGAAAUGAAACUAUAUUUAAUGUUCACAAUUGCAUGUAUUGUACUAGAACCUGAUAUUUCAUUCUGACUUUGGAUUUUAUGACGUCAUAACAAUGGGCACCACAAUAAACGAACUUGAUUCGUGUCAAUGAAUAUUUAAAUAUUUGUAUGUAUUGGCGGACAUGGAGUCAGGAAUGCAUUAUUCAUAAAUAUAAGUCACUUUCCAAAAAGUCAAAUCUGGCAAGUAAAACCAGUUUCACUUGACAGGCGAAACCAAGUUUUCCGCUGCAGUGGUAGUCUUGUCUGACCAUUAUUACGUCACAGUGUUUUUACAUUUUGCAUACAGUAGAACAUGAAAAACACAUUUGACACGACGGAUUUAACAAGGGCCAAGAUUAAAAAAAGAGAUCACAGGUAAUGCUCUGUUUUGAUGGACACUGUAAUAAACAUAUCAUUCGAUUCUUAUUGUGGUAUGCGGUGGUGUCGAAAUACACUUCAUCAUUCUGACAGCUAGUUUCUAGUAUUGUGGGUGUUUGACUACAUGAGAAAUGCGCAAAAUGCAAUCACGCACUGCAACUAACAAGAAAAAGGAUCAACAUUGAGCAAAGGAGUCAUGACUGCUCAAGUGAAUUAACAACGAAUGGCGUUUAAAGGCAUACUGUUAUUGUUUGCCGUGACACUAAUGAGUAAUUAUACAUUUGGACUAAUUAUAAUUGCCUCUCUGUCAUAUGUCAUCGUAGUUAUUAUCCGAGCAUUCGUUUUCCAUGUUGCUUUUUGUCAUUUGUGGUUCGAAGCCAGGCUACUGAUUGAAUGGCGCAAAAAGACAAACAAUCAUUUGCAUUACGAGUCACCCCAUGGAUGAUUUUGAGACUUCAUGUCAUCUAACAGGCAUGUUUUUCGGAAUGUGGAAGGAAACCGGAGUAACGGGAGUUUUUAGAAUCUUGUAACCAUUUACAAUAGAUGUUAGUUUGAAAUCAAAUUCAUUUGGCUAAAUGCCGUAUUUGUACACUGUAACUACUAUUGCACUGUGACUAUAGUAUAUACAACUGGUAUGUGAUUUAUGUGGGUGAAUUUUUGUCAUGUGAGAAAUAUUGUGCAAGAAU